CCUACGGGGGGCUGCAGUGGGGAAUAUUGGACAAUGGGGGCAACCCUGAUCCAGCCAUGCCGCGUGUGUGAAGAAGGCCCUCGGGUUGUAAAGCACUUUCAGUGAGGAAGAACGCCUGGUGGUUAAUACCCAUCAGGAAAGACAUCACUCACAGAAGAAGCACCGGCUAACUCCGUGCCAGCAGCCGCGGUAAUACGGAGGGUGCGAGCGUUAAUCGGAAUUACUGGGCGUAAAGCGCGCGUAGGUGGCUUGAUAAGCCGGUUGUGAAAGCCCCGGGCUCAACCUGGGAACGGCAUCCGGAACUGUCAAGCUAGAGUGCAGGAGAGGAAGGUAGAAUUCCCGGUGUAGCGGUGAAAUGCGUAAAGAUCGGGAGGAAUACCAGUGGCGAAGGCGGCCUUCUGGACUGACACUGACACUGAGGUGCGAAAGCGUGGGUAGCAAACAGGAUUAGAUACCCUAGUAGUC
rnacentral:rRNA from 1 species